rnacentral:rRNA from 1 species
CAAAUGAAUUGACGGGGCCCGCACAAGCGGUGGAGUAUGUGGUUUAAUUCGAUGCAACGCGAAGAACCUUACCUGGUCUUGACAUCCCGGAGACCCUUAGGAAACUAGGGGGUGCUUCCAUCUGGAAGAAUCUGGAGACAGGUGCUGCAUGGCUGUCGUCAGCUCGUGUCGUGAGAUGUUGGGUUAAGUCCCGCAACGAGCGCAACCCUUGCCUUUAGUUGCCAGCAGUUCGGCUGGGCACUCUAAAGGGACUGCCGGUGUUAAACCGGAGGAAGGUGGGGAUGACGUCAAGUCCUCAUGGCCUUUAUGACCAGGGCUACACACGUACUACAAUGGCCGAUACAAAGGGCAGCGACACUGCGAGGUGAAGCCAAUCCCGUAAAAUCGGUCUCAGUCCGGAUUGGAGUCUGCAACUCGACUCCAUGAAGUUGGAAUCGCUAGUAAUCGUGGAUCAGCAUGCCACGGUGAAUACGUUCCCGGGCCUU